rnacentral:misc_RNA from 1 species
GUGAAUCAUCGAAUCUUUGAACGCACCUUGCACUCUCUGGUAUUCCGGAGAGUAUGCCUGUUCGAGUGUCGUGAAGUUCUCAAACUCUCAGCUUUGCGGCUGACCGUUUGGAGUUGGAGCCUGUCGGCGAGAGUCGACUGCUCUGAAAUGUAUUAGCCAUUACCACGAUCGGCUGAAGUGUAAUAAAUCUUUGUUCACUAACGCCAGUCUACGGUGAAGGCUCAUAGAAACCCAAUUUAUUCACCUUUGACCUCGAAUCAGGUAGGAUUACCCGCUGAACUUAAGCAUAUCAAUAAGCGG